rnacentral:lncRNA from 1 species
CAAAAGUCUUAAACGAGUUGAUGAAGUCGGACUAAGGUGGAGGUGCGAACUUUAUUUUUGAUUUGGCAUGAUAAGUUACUGAGUUGGACUCCGUUUGGAUUGGUAGAGACAAACUUGAGUUAGACCAAUAUUUGUAUAUAUUAUGUAUAGUAAGUUUUUUCACCAAAAUUUUGGAUAUUCACGUGCAUACCCCUAGCUUAAAACGAUUUGACUUAUGACAAAUUUAAAGGAACACUCUUUACGGGAUGGAGAGAGUAUGCUAGAACGUGGUGGUUGGGUAGGGACAGUGUGAGUAGAGGGAGGGAGAGACUUCAUUUGACAUAUGAGUGCAGAGCAACCUAAUCCAUUCAUCGGAGAUCCUAAGCUUAAAAAUUGAAAUGGUUUGUAAGUUUUUUUUUUACAAUCGGGCGACCAAUUAUUGGUAGAGACAAACUAGAGUUAGACCAAUAUUUGUAUAUAUUAUGUAUAGUAAGUUUUUUCACCAAAAUCUUGGAUAUUCACGUGUAUACCCCUAGCUUAAAACGAUUUGACUUAUGACAAACCUAAAGGAACACUCUUUAUGGGAUGGCGAGAGUAUGUUACAACGUGGUGGUUGGGUAGGGACAGUGUGAUUAGAGGGAGGGAGAGACUUCAUUUGACAUAUAAGUUGCAGAGAAACCUAAUCCAUUCAUCGAAGAUCCAAAGCUUAAAAAUUGAAAUGGUUUGUAAGUUAUUUUUUUUACAAUCGGGCGACUUAGAGCUUGGUGAGAAAGUUGAUUCUAUGACCUAACAAAUUCCUAAGAUUUA